UGGGGAAUUUUGCACAAUGGGCGGAAGCCUGAUGCAGCGACGCCGUGUGGGGGAUGAAGGCCUUCGGGUUGUAAACUCCUUUCGUCAGGGACGAAGUUUGUUUGACGGUACCUGGAUAAGAAGCACCGGCUAACUACGUGCCAGCAGCCGCGGUAAUACGUAGGGUGCGAGCGUUGUCCGGAUUUACUGGGCGUAAAGGGCUCGUAGGUGGUGUGUUGCGUCGUCUGUGUAAUCCAGGGGCUUAACUUUUGGUUGGCAGGCGAUACGGGCAUUGCUUGAGUGCUGUAGGGGAGACUGGAAUUCCUGGUGUAGCGGUGAAAUGCGCAGAUAGCAGGAGGAACACCGAUGGCGAAGGCAGGUCUCUGGGCAGUUACUGACGCUGAGGAGCGAGAGCAUGGGUAGCGAACAGG
rnacentral:rRNA from 1 species